CCUACGGGUGGCAGCAGUGGGGAAUAUUGGGCAAUGGGCGCAAGCCUGACCCAGCAACGCCGCGUGAAGGAAGAAGGCCCUCGGGUUGUAAACUUCUUUUAUCAAGGACGAAACAAAUGACGGUACUUGAUGAAUAAGCCACGGCUAACUACGUGCCAGCAGCCGCGGUCAUACGUAGGAUCCGAGCAUUAUCCGGAGUGACUGGGUGUAAAGCGUUGCGUAGGUGGCAUAAUAAGUAGCUAGUGAAAUCUGGUGGCUCAACCAUUCAGACUAUUAGCUAAACUGUUAAGCUCGAGACCGUUAGGGGCAUCUGGAAUUUCUAGUGUAGGAGUGAAAUCCGUAGAUAUUAGAAGGAACACCAAUAGCGUAGGCAGGAUGCUGGGACGGUUCUGACACUAAGGCACGAAAGCGUAGGGAGCAAACGGGAUUAGAUACCCGAGUAGUC
rnacentral:rRNA from 1 species